rnacentral:tRNA from 1 species
CUCCUGGUAGUCUAGUUGGUUUAUGGCGUUGGACUGUAAUUGUGAAGAGAUCAAUCCAAAUGUCGCGUGUUCGAAUCACGCCCGGGAGA